UCGGACGUAGCGCAGAGGUUGUCGCGCCCGGUCUCCGAAACCGGGAGGACGCCGGUUCGAAUCCGGUCGUCCGAG
rnacentral:tRNA from 1 species